rnacentral:rRNA from 1 species
AAGAAGGCCUUCGGGUUGUAAAGCACUUUUGUCCGGAACGAAACGGUUUGGGAUAAUACCCUGGAUCACUGACGGUACCGGAAGAAUAAGCACCGGCUAACUACGUGC